AACCUAAUUAAUCGGCGCCUAAAAUGUCUUGCAUUGUACUCAUCCAGAAGGGGCUCCGUGAGCCAUCCCGUCUACAAAACAUGGCUCGUUUUCUCAAAUGCUCACUGCUCAUUUCUU
ensembl:ncRNA C18F3.7 ncRNA